AAAAAGCCAGAAAAUUGUUUACGGAUAAAAUCCAACGCCCCCACGUUUCUCUCUCCUGUUAAGUAUAUACGCACGUAUUUUGUGUUCGUGACAUUUAUACCGUACCAUUAACUCAACUGUUUAAGAAUUGCACUUACGCGGGAGUUAAGGCGGCGUAAAUAACAAACGAAGUUAAUCGCCGGUGCGGUCCGAAUGCAGUUAAAGAAGAUGCAAUUGUGACCACCGCUGGACCGGUGGAAUUAACGUAACGAGGACAUCGGUGGAAAAGUUCGAACCUCGUGGAAAUUGCCUCGCGAUGUUCGGAAGUUC
rnacentral:misc_RNA from 1 species